rnacentral:rRNA from 1 species
GACGAACGCUGGCGGCGUGCCUAAUACAUGCAAGUCGAACGCUAAGGCCCUGCUUUUGUGCUGUGCUCGAGUGGCGAACGCGUGUGUAUCACGCGAGUAUCCUGCCCUUUGCUUUGGGAUAACUUCAGGAAACACGGUCUAUAAUCGGACAGAACCUCCUGCUGCAUGUUGGGGUUUUGAAAGAUUCGGCGGUUCUGGAUGGACUCGCGGCUUUUCAGUUUGUUGGUGGGUAAGUGGCUUACCAGGGCAUUGACGGGAAGCCGGCCUGAGAGGGUGACCGGCCACAUUGGGACUGAGAUACGACCCAGACGCCUACGGGAGGCAGCAGUGGGAAAUAUUGCAAAAAGGGCGGAAGCCUGAUGCAGCAACGCCGGGUGCGGGAUGACGGCUUUCAGGUUAUAAACCGCUUGCGCCUGGGAAGAAGAGUGAGUGACGGUAAUGGGUAAAGAAGCAACGGCUAACUACGUG